rnacentral:ncRNA from 1 species
UAUAAAGAGGUUCUAGCUACCCUCUCAAAAAAACUAAGGAAAA